UUGAAGUGAUCGAAAGAAGGAGAAUAGGAAACAGCGUACAAUUUUUGAUUUAAACAAGCAGUUGUCAGCUUUUUUGAAAACACGUGCAAAAUUUGUUAACAAAUAGCAUUUGUUCACUUUUAGAUGACAGGAAAUCAGUGACAGAGAGGUUUUAAUACUGGUAGUGGAAUUCUGCUACUUGAUUUAUAGACUGAACUGGCUGUAUGUGAAACCAAGUUUGCUCAUCUGUAACUGCACUAAGCAAACCACAUAUAAUUUACAAAUGCCUACAGCAUUGCAAUGCGCGGUGCGCCAUCUUGAGGUCAUGUUUACAAUGUCAUUAGGAAUUCACAUAAUAUUCAUACAACAAAAACAAGAACCGUUGAGCACAAAAGCGGAAGAAGUUCAAAUGUGGAUAUUUGAAAUUCUAUCUAAACAAUGCUUUGAGUCAGAGCAGAUCUGCUUAAAACUUUGCACUGAAGCUAGAAUCUCUUUACAAAAAAAAAAAAUUCUGAACAAGAACUUGAUUUUGAUCGAUCAGUUUGUCUGGCAGCUACAUAUACUUGUAUGCUAUAGUGGUUCGAUAUCGGUGGUUCAGAAAAAUCAACAGCUUAUUGGGGACGUGUUUAAAGUAACAAAUAUUCGUAUAUACAGAUAGAGAGACGAAAAAAAAAACAAAGCUAUAACAGUGUCUCCUGCUAUUAGACCUUGGUUGCUUCUCCGAUUUUCUUAGCAUACAGUUAUUUUCAGUUACUGAAACUCUAGAAUCAACUUGAAGGUCAAGCUAAUUGCAGCAGUCCUUUCACGAAAAACUGAUUCAUGGCUCUGAUCGACCUAACAGCCCACCCAAAUAUUGCUAUGUCCAAAAUAUUUAAAUAUCACAAAUGUUUACAUAUUUUAAUAUGGGUACAUGUACAUACAAACGCACAUAUAAUAAUUCAACGGCGAAACCAUUAACCGAGAGUCACAACGAUCAUUAACUGCAGAAGGUGACGAAUGAUGAUGCCAAAACAAAUAUUUAAUAUUUGCACAACUUCAAAUGAAGAAACCUUGCCUAAAGUAAUCCGAACACAAAGAGCUGGAUGAAGAGAUUGUCAAUGUGUAUAUGAUGAGAUCGGUGCUUUUAUGAAAUGCUACCGGAGUUGCUUUGUUGUUUGCUGCGUGCGACGCGAGUGGUCAAAUCAAGACGGUAGCAGGCAUCUGCAAGAAAUCGAGGCUGUUCACAUAGAUACAAACAUAUGUAUGAGUAUAUAUUUACUACUGUGCACAGGUAAGUACGCAGGAAUUACUUUUACAUGUACGGAGUGGCGAAAACUUAAAGAAGGGUGAUUUUAACUGAGCUUAUGAUUUCUGUUUUAGGGAGAAAAGGGUUUUUAACUCCGAGCUUGAAGGAUUUUCAAUUACGAUUUGAGAUAUCUUUCUGCAAUUAUUGGAUUUCACUUCAUUGGAUUGGAAUCUUUCCUUGUCAGUCAAUUUCAUGGACGUCAAUUAUGUUAUAUUCUGCUCUAACCGGGGUUGAAACCAACAUCCAACGUGCUAAUCAUACAUAGAUCUCAUCCGGUAGUGGCGUUCACUCGUGCUUCCAUUACUACUACGCCCCUGUAUAAUCAUACAAUCAUUCAAUGCAAGUAUUAACUCUCUUUAAGCUCCACUGUGAGUGUGGGAUGAUAAACGCUUGGCUGGCCCGUUGACAGCAUGAUCGCCGGUUUGGCGCUUUGAUCAUCAUUCGGCGACUUGUGGAAGUGUCGACUACUGUUUGACCAUCUGACGAGCGCUCAAGGUCUUGCCCAAGCGGAACAAUCUCUAUAUUGGCGGCAUCACCGGAAGCCACUUACCUGCUCGUACCACUACUCAAUUGUAGUUGUUGGCUUUCAGCGGCCACAUCAAUGAGCUUUUCUACUAACAUUUCUAUCGAUUCUUAAUUUCAUUAAACUCACAGUUUGCUCUCUCUUUUUUGAACAGGUGACAAUAUGGUAGGAAGAGCGUGAAGCUGUUGUUGGCUUUCGCUAGUAACGAGUUUGUGUACACUCGACGGAUGUUUAUUAUUUGAUGUGUGUGUGUUUUUAUUUUAUUUUCAUGGUUUAAGAUAUUUGUUAGUCUUUGGCGAGAGAGCUAUUAUCAUGCCACAGAUUCUUCUGGGUUUUAGGGUCACUCGGAGAGGGUUUAAUAUUUUAGUAUAUUUAUCUGAAGCUUUACAUCAACGAAUAAGUGAUGGAAAUGCGAUUUUACAUUUCGUCGACACGCGAAAUUCUAUAAGAGUUCAUUUAUAGAAAUGUUCUCUGUAUAAUAUAUAAAUAACUGGGUAGGCGUUGAUUAUCACCAAAAAUUUUUAACCCAUAUUCGGCAGUAUAUUCUUUAAUCCGGUUAGUUAGUUUUGAAAAUCUCAAUAAGAACAUCUUUCAUUUUUGAAGACGUCUGUUGAGGAAUUUCAAAAAAGUUUUUCGUCAUAGAGUUAUAAUCCCAGGCGUCGGACACGUUUAGCAGACUUCUGCGCCAGUUAAGUAUUCUCGAAAUUUCAGAUACCAGAUAUACAUACCUUAAAUUCACAACACAAAGAAAUAAAAAUCUUACUAAGUGUAAAUUUCAUUUCAAUAUAUGAGUCGUUCACCAUUUCUGGACCAAAUCUUAUAAGACUACUUCAAAUGUUCACCUGAUCUGCAUUAGUGGGGCGACGACUAGUUUUUUUUUCACAUUUUCAGCUCACUUUAGGGCAAAACUCUUGCUUUUCUACAAAUGUGAAAAAUGGUGCUCUCUCAGAAAGGACUCUUUGAGAGAUGGUCACUCCUGCUCUUUAAACAUAAACACUUUAAUGUUGGGUAUCUUUGAAUCUAGUUAAUAUUGAAAACGUAAAGGAAGCUUGAGAGAGUUAAGUGAAUUGCAGGAAAUAGUUAGCAUUUGAGCAUUGGAGAAGGCAAUUUUCUAAUACCUCUGAACUAAUGAAAAUAAGUCGAAGCGAAGAAGCUUACAGGGUAUUUUUCUUAAUACUCUUCGCACCUUCGAGAAUAUAUUUAAUUUAUUGAUUUCUUGCCUUGAGUUUUUACUUACAAAUGUAAGGUAAUCUAAAUAGUUAGGUGUCCCGUUAUGAAAUACGCGUUUCUUUGUAAAAAUGAAAUACUAAUUUUGAAUGGGAAAGUAAAAAAAAAGUAUUAUUCAAUAUGGACCAUGGCUUUUUACACAUUUUGAUCAACUUUCUGGCAAUUUGUGGAUAUCAUGCCCAGAAAAUGUUCGUCUUUUAAAGCAAACCAAUCAGACACCCAAUUUUCGACUUCUGCGUAGCAAUCGUAGUGCUGCUUAGCCAAUGCGUGUUCCAACGAUGAAAACAAAUAGUAAUCGGCAAUUAAUGCUUUUCGCAAAUCAUCACUUUUCGGUAUAAAUUUCGACAUUUUCAAAACAAUGAAAAAAUAUGAUGCUGUUUGUUCAAUUACUGUUAUUGAAUAUGUUUGACAGAUGUCAUGCUUACCUAACAGCAAAGGAAUUAAGGCUCGUUCACAAUAAAUGUUCCCUAUCAGCACAUUUUUAUCUUAGCGCUCACUUUAUACCGGUACACCCGUAAAGUAUUUCAACUUAAACUAAGGUCUUAAUAAAUUCUGUGUGACUUGUUUAUAAUAUAUUUGGACAAAUCUAUUCCUUGUACAUAUGUAUGUAUUUAGUAGCUACCGAAUUUUCAUUUUGACGUUUUUUCUACGCCUAUUUUGAUUAUAUGUGUAGCUCACUAGUAGUACGGUAAUAAAGUUGUUGUUGCUUAUGCUAGUUUAUUGCUUGAUAAGAACUUUUUCAAUUAUCAAUAGAACUACCAUAUUAAUUAUUGGAGUCCAUGGUGUAACAAUUUCAAAAAAUAAAUAAACAGAAAAAUUUAAUAAGGCAAUCGAAUUACAUAUAUUAUUUGCUCCGACAUAUUGUAGUGUAUACAUAUGUAUGCAUAUGUAUAUGUAAAUACAUAUACAGUCAUGUGUGGACCCAGUAGUAAGUAAGAGAGACGGUUAGGCAAAGCAAGCUUUUAAAACUUGGAAACUCAGUGUACUAAAGAUCUAAAUUUGUGAUCACUAUUUUGUAUGAUGAUAAGUGUUAACAUAGUUGCCGAUAUUUGGGCUUCCAAAAAUUUUGAAAUAAUCACUUUGUUAUUAAAAUAUUGAUUUCAUAUCCACUAGUUUUCAGAGUUUGAACUCAAAAUUGUAGUAUUUGUUCUAAAAAGUUAUGGGUAGAGGUUCCCUGAAAACAAAACUCAGCAUGGAGGUUAAUAAGGAAGAAAAGAGGGUAGGAUAUCAGCUCAAACGUCGGUAGGAGAAGUGGCUGCUACCAACGGCGGACACAACGAGUUUACUUGAAAAUCCAUGAAAGACUUAGCUACAAGUCCAACUGGUCGAUAGAAAGGAGGAGUAAAGAUCUGCUAGGGCUACGACAAAAGUGGAGAUAAGCUGAGCGUACUAUGCGUCGCUUUCGAAAUUCACAUUCAUGGAUCCGAUAUUCGCAAACCGAAUCGUGGACGGAAUUACAGCCAAAAGGCAGCAGUACGCUGGAAGCGAAACAGCGGGGCCAUCCAAACGACCGAGAAAAAAGGACGCUGCUGCAAAGCCAAACAUCAGGCUUGAUCGAGAGAAACAUCCAACGUCCAGGACGCUAGCGAUGGCCAGCGAGAUAGCUCAGAGGCAUUUAAUCGUUGCACUUAAUGACCGAAGCAACGCCUUUGGGUAAAUUACUUAGGAGAAAUGAAAAGCGGUAGAGCUGAAACUGUAACUCAAUGGCUCAAACAUAGCAAGCAGAGAAGUGCCGAAUCAAACAAACAACUGGUAUAAAUUAUAACGGUAUAAUCAGUGAGAGAGUAUGCUUCCAACAUAGUGAGCAGAAGAAGUGGCGUAUCGAAGAAGACUAAUGCUCUACUGCCUCCCCACUAACUCGAUUUACUACAGGGUUUAGUUAACUACAGUUUGUUGUAGUGUAUGUGGGCUAGUGUAAUAAAUAAUUAUGACAGAUAGAGUUAUAUAUUUGUUUCGUUUUAUGGCGGGUGGCUAAAC